UGCGAGAAGAGCCCGAAUCAUAAGUCAACAAUUUUGGUGGUUCUCGCCCAUACACCACUUGGAAAGGAGUAGUGUGUAAAGUUGAAUGGAAGGAAGAAUUGUUACAGUAUUCAGCCCAAGGAAGCAUUGUAACAGUAUUCAGCCCAAAUUUGUAGUGCUAGGUCUUAUAAGGAUUUUGGCUUUGGUUUCAUUGCAUUUGCAGUUUUGUGGACCAAGUUAUGACAUUUUUUCCAAAACUAGUUAGAUAGGUUAAAACCCAAAAAUUCAGGGCAAAUAUGGUUCUGGACAGAAUUGUGAACCUAACUUGUGCUAACAAUUUGGUUGGGUUAGAGGCCAAACUGGGCUUUGAGUUCUGCAUGAAAAAUGUAGUACUAUGUCUAACCUUUCCAAUGAUUCAAAAAUUAGAUCAUUCUAACCUACCUAGAGUAAGUUAUGGCCAUUUGAAUAUUUACUAUUUAUUUGGUCAUUUUUCUAGGCCCAGUUUAGGGUUACCCAGAUUCAUGCUAGUUUUAGGUCAAGUUAUGGUAAGUUUUUGGGCAUGGUCUCUUCAUGAAA
rnacentral:misc_RNA from 1 species